UAGCUAUAUCAUGCUGAAUAUACCGGUUCUCGUUCGAUCACCGAAAUCAAGAAUAAUCGGGCGCGGUCAGUACUUGGGAGGGUGACCACCUGGGAACACCGCGUGCCGUU
rnacentral:rRNA from 1 species